AUGGCAUUCAUUUUCUGACUGAACAAUAAUCACUAAAGGUUGCCAGAUCACUUAUUUGUUGUAUCCGUCCUCACACCAAGGAUGGCAUAUUCACACAUACAUUUAAAAAUCUUUCCGAAUAAUGACAGCUGUUGUUAGUGUCUGAUUUAUGAUUAUUAAGUUGGUGUGUAAUGAAUUUAGCCCAUAAGUACAAUCAUAAAUUCGGACCCGUAAUGUUCUCUCUCCAGACUCAGAGUCAUGGACUGAAGCCUGCACUCUCCACCUCAUUACAGCUCCUUUCAAAAUCCAAAAGCCAAACCCAGCCAUGCUUAGAAGAAGCACCACUGCUCUCCCAAAUGUUUGAAAUGUGAGACCAUGAGCACUGCGGCAGGUCAAUCUAUCACUGAGGAAGCUGAGGAGAUGGUAAAAGCGGGAGGAAGGAGGAAGGGUGGCAGUGAGGUUAAAACAUGCACGCAAGUGGGGUGAGGCAGUGUGAUGGCGGCCCCAGCCUGGCACAGAUCACAAGCCCCAGUAAUGUCAGCGAAACAGUCCGGACCGAGGCGGCUGGAAUGACAGUGAAAACCUAACCCUCCCUGCUGGGCGUUUGCGUUCAAACAGAUUCUCUCGUCUACUCUUUCAUGCCAUGGAAAACCAACGCAGGCUGUUUUCUCUCCAUCAUUUUCACACACUCUCUCUGUCUCUCACGUUCUGUGUUUCUCUCCCUCUCUCUCACUCUCUCUCUGGUGUGAGAGAUUUAUAGGAGUCACAGAGUCACUGGCUUUGGAACAUGAAACGGGUCAGAUUGUCGGUGGUACCUGGGAGUCCGCGUCUGAGACCUCUCGCCGUGCUCUUCCGCAAGUGGUGGAAGCGUUCUUCUUCCUUGACCAGUACUUCUGCGCUGACCUCUGCCCAAAACUUCCCAGCAUGGUCCCUUUCUUUAUUCUGGGAACAGCACUUUUUUGACUUGGAGAUUCAACAGGAACAACAAUAUUUCUGUGGAAUCAAAGUCAUUGGUUGAGGGCCCUCAAAGACUUGAGGAAUGCCAAACCAGGCUCCACCCUGCCUGGGGAGAGCGAUCAGGCCGAGGGAUUGCUGUUCUGGAGGUGCUCCCCUCUUAUUACCCAGCCAGUCAUGCUGAGGAACACAACACUGCAGCAUUCAUCAGCUCUUAGCGCGGCCUCUCUCUCUCUCUCUCUCUCUCUCUCCUCUCUCUCUCUCUCUCUCUCUCUCUUUUCUUGCUGGCCUGUGGUCUGAGCUCCCCACG